rnacentral:rRNA from 1 species
GCUAUACAUGCAAGUCGAGCGAACAGAUAAGGAGCUUGCUCCUUUGACGUUAGCGGCGGACGGGUGAGUAACACGUGGAUAACCUACCUAUAAGACUGGGAUAACUUCGGGAAACCGGAGCUAAUACCGGAUAACAUAUUGAACCGCAUGGUUCAAUAGUGAAAGGCGGCUUUGCUGUCACUUAUAGAUGGAUCCGCGCCGUAUUAGCUAGUUGGUAAGGUAACGGCUUACCAAGGCAACGAUACGUAGCCGACCUGAGAGGGUGAUCGGCCACACUGGAACUGAGACACGGUCCAGACUCCUACGGGAGGCAGCAGUAGGGAAUCUUCCGCAAUGGGCGAAAGCCUGACGGAGCAACGCCGCGUGAGUGAUGAAGGUCUUCGGAUCGUAAAACUCUGUUAUCAGGGAAGAACAAAUGUGUAAGUAACUGUGCACAUCUUGACGGUACCUGAUCAGAAAGCCACGGCUAACUACGUGCCAGCAGCCGCGGUAAUACGUAGGUGGCAAGCGUUAUCCGGAAUUAUUGGGCGUAAAGCGCGCGUAGGCGGUUUUUUAAGUCUGAUGUGAAAGCCCACGGCUCAACCGUGGAGGGUCAUUGGAAACUGGAAAACUUGAGUGCAGAAGAGGAAAGUGGAAUUCCAUGUGUAGCGGUGAAAUGCGCAGAGAUAUGGAGGAACACCAGUGGCGAAGGCGACUUUCUGGUCUGUAACUGACGCUGAUGUGCGAAAGCGUGGGGAUCAAACA